UACGUAGGGUGCAAGCGUUGUCCGGAUUUAUUGGGCGUAAAGAGCUCGUAGGCGGUUUGUCGCGUCGGAUGUGAAAACCCAGGGCUCAACCCUGGGCCUGCAUUCGAUACGGGCAGGCUAGAGUCCGGCAGGGGAGACUGGAAUUCCUGGUGUAGCGGUGAAAUGCGCAGAUAUCAGGAGGAACACCGGUGGCGAAGGCGGGUCUCUGGGCCGGAACUGACGCUGAGAUGCGAAAGCGUGGGGAGCAAACAGG
rnacentral:rRNA from 1 species